rnacentral:rRNA from 1 species
CCGGCACGGGUGAGUAACACGUAUGCAAUCCACCUGUAACAGGGGGAGUAACCCGGAGAAAUCCGGACUAAUACCCCAUAAUAUGGGCGCUCCGCAUGGAGAGCCCAUUAAAGAGAGCAAUUUUGGUUACAGACGAGCAUGCGCUCCAUUAGCCAGUUGGCGGGGUAACGGCCCACCAAGACUACGAUGGAUAGGGGUUCUGAGAGGAAGGUCCCCCACAUUGGAACUGAGACACGGUCCAA